GUGUCAGCCGCCGCGGUAAUACGAAGGGGGCUAGCGUUGUUCGGAAUUACUGGGCGUAAAGCGCACGUAGGCGGAUAUUUAAGUCAGGGGUGAAAUCCCAGAGCUCAACUCUGGAACUGCCUUUGAUACUGGGUAUCUUGAGUAUGGAAGAGGUAAGUGGAAUUGCGAGUGUAGAGGUGAAAUUCGUAGAUAUUCGCAGGAACACCAGUGGCGAAGGCGGCUUACUGGUCCAUAACUGACGCUGAGGUGCGAAAGCGUGGGGAGCAAACAGGAUUAGAUACCCGCGUAGUCC
rnacentral:rRNA from 1 species